rnacentral:rRNA from 1 species
AUCCUGGCUCAGAGCGAACGUUAGCGGCGGGCCUAACACAUGCAAGUCGAACGCGAAAGGUCUUCGGACUGAGUAGAGUGGCGCACGGGUGAGUAACACGUAGGUAAUCUACCCUUUGGCGGGGGAUAACGUUCCGAAAGGAGCGCUAAUACCGCAUAAGACCACGUGGUCUCCGGACCGAGUGGGAAAAAGGUGGCCUCUUCUUGAAAGCUACCACCGAAGGAUGAGCCUGCGUCCCAUCAGCUAGUUGGUAAGGUAAUGGCUUACCAAGGCAAAGACGGGUAGCUGGUUUGAGAGAAUGAUCAGCCACACUGGCACUGGAACACGGGCCAGACUCCUACGGGAGGCAGCAGUGAGGAAUAUUGGGCAAUGGGCGAAAGCCUGACCCAGCCACGCCGCGUGAGUGAUGAAGGCCCUCGGGUCGUAAAGCUCUGUGGAGAGGGACGAAAACCCUGGUUUCAAAUAGGCUCCAGGCUUGACGGUACCUCUUUAGCAAGCACCGGCUAACUCUGUG